AGAGUUUGAUCAUGGCUCAGGACGAACGCUGGCGGCGUGCUUAACACAUGCAAGUCGAACGGAAAGGCCCCUUCGGGGGUACCCGAGUGGCGAACGGGUGAGUAACACGUGGGUGAUCUGCCCUGCACUUUGGGAUAAGCCUGGGAAACUGGGUCUAAUACCGAAUAGGACCGCAUGCUUCAUGGUGUGUGGUGGAAAGCUUUUGCGGUGUGGGAUGGGCCCGCGGCCUAUCAGCUUGUUGGUGGGGUAAUGGCCUACCAAGGCGACGACGGGUAGCCGGCCUGAGAGGGUGUCCGGCCACACUGGGACUGAGAUACGGCCCAGACUCCUACGGGAGGCGGCAGUGGGGAAUAUUGCACAAUGGGCGCAAGCCUGAUGCAGCGACGCCGCGUGGGGGAUGACGGCCUUCGGGUUGUAAACCUCUUUCAGUAUCGGCGAAGCUCCAGGAUUUUUCUUGGGGUGACGGUAGGUACAGAAGAAGCACCGGCCAACUACGUGCCAGCAGCCGCGGUAAUACGUAGGGUGCGAGCGUUGUCCGGAAUUACUGGGCGUAAAGAGCUCGUAGGUGGUUUGUCACGUUGUCUGUGAAAACUCACAGCUUAACUGUGGGCGUGCGGGCGAUACGGGCAGACUGGAGUACUGUAGGGGAGACUGGAAUUCCUGGUGUAGCGGUGGAAUGCGCAGAUAUCAGGAGGAACACCGGUGGCGAAGGCGGGUCUCCGGGCAGUAACUGACGCUGAGGAGCGAAAGCGUGGGGAGCGAACAGGAUUAGAUACCCUGGUAGUCCAA
rnacentral:rRNA from 1 species